AGUUCAGACUGCAGGCUGCAACCGCCUGCAUGAAGUCGGAAUUGCUAGUAAUCGCGGAUCAGCAUGCCGCGGUGAAUACGUUCCUGGGCCUUGUACACACCGCCCGUCACACCAUGGGAGCCGGUAAUACCCGAAGUCAGUAGUCCAACCUCGUGAGGACGCUGCCGAAGGUAGGAUUGGCGACUGGGGUGAAGUCGUAACAAGGUACC
rnacentral:rRNA from 1 species